CUGCUGUGUAAAAUGAAAGAAGGUUAGCACUCCCCCUAACAAGGAUGGAAGAAGCUUCGGGCCUGACAACACUCAUGAGGUUAAGGUACUGCCACCUACUUCACGACAUCUAACCACUAUUUUUG